rnacentral:rRNA from 1 species
UACGUAGGGGGCUAGCGUUGUCCGGAAUCAUUGGGCGUAAAGAGCGUGUAGGCGGCCCGGUAAGUCCGCUGUAAAAGUCAAAAGGCUCAACCUUUGAAUGUCAGUGGAUACUGCCGGGCUAGAGUCCGGAAGAGGCGAGUGGAACUCCUGGUGUAGCGGUGGAAUGCGCAGAUAUCAGGAGGAACACCCGUGGCGAAAGCGGCUCUCUGGGACGGUACUGACGCUGAGACGCGAAAAGCGUGGGGGAGCAAACAGG